rnacentral:lncRNA from 1 species
AUGCUAAGGUCUGGAUCUACCCGGCUGCUCUCAGCACAUAACCUCACUUGCAGUCCAGGUCUGAAGGAACAGCUGCCCCCAGCCCCAGGGGCUCAGGGUGACUGGACAUGGUCCUGGGUGCAUUGGCCCUGCACAAGGAAGAGACACAGGGACCCGGGGAUGAGUUGAAUCUGUUACUGUUUGAGAGUCUGGUUCUUGAAGGUAACUGGGACUGCGGAGGGUAGAAGUGAGAGACUUUAUAAUUCAGAAGAGGAGGCGCUCAGGGCUAGGCCAGGCUCCAGGGGAGCACAGAGAAGCUUCUAUUAGAACACUGUCAGGGUGAUUUCCUUUGGUUUGGAAAAGCAGAAAUUUUUUUUUUCACUACCAAUCACCCAGCCUGUCAGGUCUGACUGUUCCGUUGAUUGGCUGGUCUUUAUGUAUACAGGUUACAGAUUUAGGGGCCUGAACAAAAUAUAAGAAGCCAUGGUCUGAUACAAACGGAGUAUCUGAAGAUGAUCUAUGAUGCUGGCAGCAAUGCACAAGCGGGCUGUUUGAUCCAGGUCUGGGCCGGGGUUAAGCAGCUGCUUUCUGUCCUGAUCGCUGGGGAAACUGCAGGGGCAUGGAGGAAAGGGAGAGGAGCCGAAAUAAGGAACUAGGACCCCUUCACAGGAGCCGGAUGAGCAGAAAGGGAAUAGACACCGUGGAUGUGCUUGGAGGAAGUCUUGUCGACAGGCAAAGCCUAUCAUCUGAAAACAGCUGAAGUUGAGUAUGAGGAGGGCUCCUCUCAGAGAAUGGCGCGUCCUGAGAAAAAGACCAAAUAUAGAGACAUGCCUUGAAUAAUAGCCAGGGAAGUGGCAUCUGGCAAGUUGCCAGGAUGGACUGCCGCCAGAUGGCUGGGGGUUGAUGUGGUUCAUGUUUAUAAGGCUGGGCGUGAUGCAGGCACGGGCAGCCAGACAAGGUUGGGGCAACACUGCAGAAGUGCAGGCAACUGAGUCCUGCCCUUGGGUUUGGUUUGAUUCUGUAGACUGGGAAGGAGGACUGAUGGGGUGGGUGCAAACCCGGGGAUGAGACCAAGACCUCGCUUCAGUCACGCCCAUUGGUUUUGUAAUGGAAUCAGUUUUUCUAAUACACUUUGACACUCAACUUUCUCCUCAUCCCACUCCACUUUUGGCUGUUCCAUCUUCCGCUU